CCGUAUUCCCUUCCUCUGAUCUUGAACUCAUUUGAGGUUGUGCCGUAUUCCCUUCCUCUGAUCUUGAACUCAUUUGAGGCUGUGCCGUAUUCCCUUCCUCUGAUCUUGAACUCAUUUGAGGCUGUGCCGUAUUCCCUUCCUCUGAUCUGGAAGUCACUUGCGGCUGAGCUGUAUUCUCAUCUUCCAAUUUUGAACUUCCUUGCAGCUGAGCCGUAUUCUCAUCUUCCAAUUGUGGCUGAGCUGUAUUCUCAUCUUCCAAUUGUGGCAGAGCUGUAUUCUCAUCCUCCAUUAGAGGUUGAGCCAUAUUCUGAUCCUCCGAUUGAGGAUGAACCAUAUUUGGAUCCUCUGAUUGAGGUUGAGCCAUAUUCUGAUCUUCUGAUUGAG
rnacentral:lncRNA from 1 species